UGGGGAAUUUUGCGCAAUGGGCGAAAGCCUGACGCAGCAACGCCGCGUGGGUGAUGAAGGUCUUCGGAUCGUAAAACCCUGUCGUCGAGGACGAAGGUAGGGGUGUUAAUAGCAUCUUUGCUUGACGGUACUCGGAGAGGAAGCCCCGGCUAACUCUGUGCCAGCAGCCGCGGUAAUACAGAGGGGGCAAGCGUUAUUCGGAAUUAUUGGGCGUAAAGGGCGCGUAGGCGGUUUUUUAAGUCAGAUGUGUAAUCCCCGAGCUCAACUUGGGAACUGCAUCUGAGACUGGAAGGCUAGAGUACUGGAGAGGGUGGUAGAAUUCCACGUGUAGCGGUGAAAUGCGUAGAGAUGUGGAGGAAUACCAGUGGCGAAGGCGGCCACCUGGACAGUAACUGACGCUGAGGCGCGAAAGUGUGGGUAGCAAACAGG
rnacentral:rRNA from 1 species